rnacentral:piRNA from 1 species
UGACAUAUAACUUGCAUCUUCUUGUGUC